UCCAUCUCGUGUUCUCUCUCCUCUCUCCUCACUCCUCAACUAGAUCUCCCUCUUCUCUCUCUCUUUCCUCUCUCCACCGUGCCGCCGUCCAUUCCUCCCGCUUCCCUCUGUUCAUGUUCACGGUGCGUCAGCCGGGCGGUCCUAGCAACGGCGGCAGUGGCGCAAGGAGCUGAUACAAACCCACCUCUCGUCGUUUCCCCCUCGCGAAAUGAUUUUCCCUGAAGGUUCGUGCUUUUUUCUUCUUUUCUCUUUAAUUAAUUUCUUUAUUUCGUGAUUUUUGAGUUUUUAUUUUUCUCAAAUUUACAAUUUCAUGUUUUCGGAAACCAAGGGUUUUCUGAUUUUCGAUUUUAAUUAUAUAUUACUCCAUAGAAAUUGUUCCUUUCUCAAUUACAUGCAGCACCGCAAUUACUGAAUUUUGACAACAUUUCAUUGUCAGAUUUCUUGAAAUCAUAUAGAUCUGUGUUUUUGAGCUUUCAAAUUACUAAUGUGUAGUGGAGCGAACUUGGGUACGGGAUUUAACCCAGGUAUUGUGGCCAUGUGAAGGUUGGGUAUGGUGAUGAUUUUGAUGAUAAUGAGGUUUGCUGUGAUGGCUGUGAUGUUUGGGAGCAUGCUGAGUUUGCUGAAAUCUGUGGCAAAAAUCUCAAGGAUUUGGAAGAUGCGGAAUAUUACUGCCCUGAUUGCAAGCCAAAGUUUGCAUUUGAGCCAUCAUACUCUGUAGAUCUACCUGAAGUCAGCCCAAAACAACUUGUGCCAUCCGAUGAGGUAACUGUUGCGUGCAAUGGUAUGGAGGCAUCAUAUAUCCCAAGCCUUCACUUGAUUGUGUGUAAGUGUGGUAAAUGUGGGACAAGGAAGUAGUCAUUAAGUGAAUGGGAAAAGCACACUGGUUGUAGAGCCAAGAAAUGGAAGCAUAGCGUCAAAGUCAAAGGCUCAAUGAUCCCCUCGCAUCAGUGGGUAGUUGCAUCACAUAUCUAUGCUGAUAAUCGGGCCCCUAUUGAGAAAUUAAAAGAUGGUGAAGCUCCCCUUUUGACAACUUGCAAUCAAAAGCUGCUUAUAACUGUACGAUGAUGGUUGUAGCUCUUAUUGGUGCUCACCCUGCGAAGAAUUAGUCUGGCCAGAAUUAGAUCAGUUGCUUCGGGAUGAGGAUGAUGAAGUUGGAGGAAGUGGCAAAUAACCAAGCAAAGAAUUCACCAAAUACUACUGUAAGGGCUCACAGUGAAGAAGGUACUAGACAACCUGAUAACGGGCUUAGUGCUGGUUGAGAAUUUGCCUAAAAAUUCAUGUCGUUCAUGCCACUUUGUUUUUCGAGGAAUAUUGUAAUUUUACAGCUUUUUUAUGAAAAACAAUGUAAGUUAAUAUAUAUGUAAGUGUUUAUAUAUCAUUUUAAG